GUGCAAGAACGAAGCAACCUGUCAGUCAGGUUUUACUUCUUCACGAUAUCGCUGCUUAUGUCCUCCUGGAAUUACUGGCCACAACUGUGAACAUGUCAUAGAUAAGUGUGACAGCAAUCCAUGUCAGAACCAAGGGAACUGUACAGACGGUAAAUGCCAAUGUCAGCCUGGAUUCUCAGGAGAACACUGCGAGAUAGACAUAGAUAAGUGUAAGAGCAAUCCAUGUCUGAACGAUGGGACCUGUACAGACGGUAAAUGCCAAUGUCAGUCUGGAUUUUCC